rnacentral:rRNA from 1 species
CCUACGGGAGGCUGCAGUGGGGAAUAUUGCACAAUGGGGGAAACCCUGAUGCAGCGACGCCGCGUGAGGGAAGAAGUAAUUCGGUACGUAAAGCUCUAUUAGUAGGGAAGAAAAUGACGGUACCUGAGUAAGAAGCCCCGGACAACAACGUGCCAGCAGCGGCGGUAAUACGUAGGGGGCAAGCGUUAUCCGGAUUUACGGGGGGUAAAGGGAGCGUAGUCGGUGCGCCAGGUCUGGAGGGAAGUGCCGCAGCUUAACCGCGGAAGUGCCUUGGAAACUGGCGAACUUGAGUGCUGGAGGGGUAAGCGGAAUUCCUAGUGUAGCGGUGAAAUGCGUAGAUAUUAGGAAGAACACCGGUGGCGAAGGCGGCUUACUGGACCGUAACUGACGUUGAGGCUCGAAAGCGUGGGUAGCGAACAGGAUUAGAUACCCUUGUAGUC